rnacentral:rRNA from 1 species
AGAGUUUGAUCCUGGCUCAGGAGAACGCUAGCGGCAGGCUUAACACAUGCAAGUCGAGGGGCAGCAUGUCCAGCAAUGGAUGAUGGCGACCGGCGGAAGGGUGCGUAACGCGUGAGCAACAUGCCCUAUACAGGGAGAUACACCAGGGAAACUUGGUCUAAUAUCCCAUAGCAUUCAUUGAAGGCAUCUUUAAUGAAUUAAAGCUUCGGUGGUAUAGGAUUGGCUCGCGUGACAUUAGCCAGAUGGUGAGGUAACGGCUCACCAUAGCAAUGAUGUCUAGGGGUUUUGAGAGGAAGGCCCCCCACACUGGGACUGAGACACGGCCCAGACUCCUACGGGAGGCAGCAGUGAGGAAUAUUGGACAAUGGAUGGAAAUCUGAUCCAGCCAUGCCGCGUGCAGGAAGACGGCCUUAUGGGUUGUAAACUGCUUUUAUACGGGAGCAAUAAGGGUUACGAGUAAAAACUCGUCCUUUUUAAUAUCCGGGAGGCAAUUAAAAGGUUACGAGGUAAUUCGGAUUGAGGAGGUAUCUGUAUGAAUAAGGAAUCGGGCUUAACUCCCGUGGCCAAGCAGGCCGCGCGGUUAAUACCGGAGGAUCCCGAAGGCGGUAAUUCCGGAAAUUAUUUGGAUUAAAGGGGGGCGUAAGGCCGGCCAUUUUAAGUCAGCGUUGAAAUUUUUGCAGCUUAACUGUAACAGUGCCCGUUGAUACUGGGGAAGCUAGGAUUUGGUUGCUGUGGGUGGAAUGUGUGGUGUAGCGGUGAAAAUGCUUAGAGAUCACACAGAAUAUCGAUUGCGAAGGCACCUCACAAAGCCCAAGAUUGACGCUGAGGCACGAAAGUGUGGGGAUCAAACAGGAUUAGAUACCCUGGUAGUCCACACUGUAAACGAUGAUAACUCGCUGUCGGCGAUACACAGUCGGCGGCCAAGCGAAAGCGAUAAGUUAUCCACCUGGGGAGUACGACCGCAAGGUUGAAACUCAAAGGAAUUGACGGGGGCCCGCACAAGCGGAGGAACAUGUGGUUUAAUUCGAUGAUACGCGAGGAACCUUACCCGGGCUCGAACGGUGCAUGAAUGGACAAGAGAUUGUUCAGACCUUAGGGACAUGUAUCGAGGUGCUGCAUGGUUGUCGUCAGCUCGUGCCGUGAGGUGUCGGCUUAAGUGCCAUAACGAGCGCAACCCUUGUCAUUAGUUACCAUCAGGUAGAGCUGGGGACUCUAAUGAGACUGCCACCGUAAGGUGAGAGGAAGGGGGGGAUGACGUCAAAUCAGCACGGCCCUUAUGUCCGGGGCGACACACGUGUUACAAUGGGGGGUACAGAGGGCAGCCAUCCGGCGACGGAGCGCCAAUCUCAAAAACCCUUCUCAGUUCGGAUUGGAGUCUGCAACUCGACUCCAUGAAGUUGGAUUCGCUAGUAAUCGCGCAUCAGCCAUGGCGCGGUGAAUACGUUCCCGGGCCUUGUACACACCGCCCGUCAAGCCAUGGAAGCUUGGGGUGCCUGAAGUUCGUGACCGCAAGGAGCGACCUAGGGCAAAACAAGUAACUGGGGCUAAGUCGUAAACAAGGUAACC